AGACUCGUCCAGAAAACUGCGUCCAGGAAGGAAGUGACAGAAGACGAAUGGGAAAAGGAGAACAGCUCACAGCGUUUGAAACAUCGCGAAGUUGUACCCGUCAGCACCUGCUGACGGCUUUGUUGUCCAAACCCUGACAGGUAAAAAAAUUCCUGCAGAAUAAAGCCAGACCAGCUGGCUUUGAAGAGAAACCCCCCAGUUUGGGCUGCGUUUGCCUCCUCUCCUUUUCUAUGAAGACCGAGGCUUUGCCCCCUUGAUCGUCAAGCCGUGAGAUGCGUGAUCUCUCUGCACAAGUGUCUGGCAGGCCGAGGGCACCACUUUAAGAUAAAAACAUAGACCUGAAUGGCAUCAUCCAGUAUCCAAGGAAACCAUUGUGUCUGUAACCAGCUAAUGAGCUGCAACAGAGCCUGGCCUUCAUUUUCAGCAAAUUAAGUUCAUCCCUCAUAGGAAUUGUGGUCUGGCUGUGGCACCGCUCCUAGGUAUGGGUGGGAUUUGUUUCUUCUACCAGUUGUAGGUUAGCCACAUGGGUACGUGCUGUCGCACCACACAACAAAAUUUUCUCUAUAAUAACCAGUCUAAGUAGCCUUUUACCCCACAAAAGUAGAUCCCAUUUAAUUUACUUUGUGUUUAUAGCACUCCCUCUCAAACCGCACCAUUGGCACAGACUAAUAUUUAUACAACUUUUUAUUUUAAACUAUUUAUUUGGAGUUGAGACUUCAGUAGCACUCCCUGUCAGAUUCAUUGAGCAUGCUUAAAUUCAGGAUACUGAAAAUGUAAAUUGGGAAGAGGGAUGUAUGUUCUUGGGAUUCUUUUCUCCCGUGCAUGGACACCCACACAACUCUCACUGUAGUAAAGGGAGGUUACACAUGUGUUGAUAACAUUUGUAUUACUGCUGGUAGGAAAUUGAACAUUGAUGGGUGAUUUUAAAAGACUGCUUUUGCCUAUUGUGUUUCCACAUUUCUUUGCCAAUAUAGUUGGUCAAAUUAGUUAGGCAACAUGCAUCUGAAAACUUCUAAUGCAAAAGUGUCAAUGUUGUUAAAGAUUUCUUUUCAUACACAAAGAAAUAUUACAUUGCUCCAUUAUUUUAAUGGAAGUCGUUAGUCAAAUACGCUUUUGCCACAGAAAGAAAGGGAAAAAAAUUCUUAGUUUUGUAUCUGACCUCUGCUUUGGGGCCUUACUUUAAGUUACAUUUUUCUUAAAUAAAGCUUUUCUGUUUUUUAAAGUGAAUGAGGGGAUGUUAACUUUAAACGGACAUUUAACCACAUAAAAUAUAGUGGCAGAUGGUUCAUUUUUCUACUCAGGGUAGACAUUUUAUUCAGUUAAUGAUAUUUAAACCUCAUUUUCUAUGAGAUCUGCAUGUUGUUCUUAAAUCUGAUACUAUUUUGUGAUUUAAAAUGAGUGUUGGGUUAACUUUGUUUACAAGUGAAGUAUUUAUCAGACCUUUGAUUCUCUUUUACUUUCUUCUUUUGGUAAACACCUAUCUUUUGGUAAACAUGGAUAACCCACUUAUGUGUUAUCUCAUCAAGGAAAAUUUUCCCAUCUUCCCAAAGGAGAACAGAACUCCACUGUAGUGGAAUAAGUUUUUUGAGAUAUGAACCAAUGCUUCUGUCCUCCUAAUAUUCUUACAACCUCUACCCCGCCUCUGCAUUCAGGAAACCAGAAUACCUUAGGGAGGGGACAGCAAAGGAAAGCAAAAGACAAUAAAGGAAUCGAUGUCUUUGUUUUGUAACUCAAAGUUAAAGUCCAAAUUUAGAAAACAGAUUUGAAAGCAUAAUGGGUCAAUAUCUGUUGUGCCUCUGAAGAAGAGAGUUGAGAAAGAAAGAAGAGGGCUUAGAUGCUGGUGGGUGUCUGCAAAAAGGCCCAGACAAUGCUUGGAAUAGUAAAGAAGCAGAGAACUUUCAGGGAGGAAGGGAACAGUCUCUAAGUUGGGGCAGGACCUGGGGAAGUCUUGCUUCUCCACUGAGGAAGAUGGACCAAGACCAGGGCAGAAGGGAUGGCAGCUUCCCCGUAGAGCAGUGAGGACGGAUGACGACAUGAAGACUGGACUGCUCAUUCUCACCUUCCCUUCACAGUCCCUGGCACUUUUUAAGCUCCUUGGAAAUUAGAGGCAAUCUAGGAGAAAGGGGGGUAGAAGGAGAUCUUAUUUCUGUUACAACGUGAAUGGGAGCUUCAAAUUGAAGAUAAAAUGUUACGGAAAAAGUGAAAUUAUAUAUAUAUUUUGCACAUCGUAGCUUGGUGGCUUCAGGUUUCUGUGCAUCAAAGGAAGGAAUUGUGCCUUCCUCAUUGUCAUACUCUGGUAUUGGAGAUUGUGCAGCAUAUAUAGUAGGUAUGCAAUAAACAGCUGUUAACAGAAUGAAUCAA
rnacentral:antisense_RNA from 1 species